CUCUGUAGUUAUAUGGCAUACAUUAUCAUCCAUACCAAUGAUUACGUUUUAGAGAUAUGUUUUGCCAUGUUCUCUUGGCAGCAUUUAUUUAUCCCAAUUCAAUAGUUUUCCUUCAGCUUUGAGUCAAUUAGACAAAUGUAGUCUAGAGUAAAUUAAGGGAUCUUUUCAAUUACUUUUCAGUUGUCAGAAUAAAAGCUGUCAAAUGUCGAGUUUUUUGUGGAGUUAGGCAGUUUGUCUAGAG